rnacentral:rRNA from 1 species
UACAGAGGCGGCAAGCGUUGUUCGGAAUUACUGGGCGUAAAGGGCGCGUAGGCGGCCUUCUAAGUCAGACGUGAAAUCCCCCGGCUUAACCUGGGAACUGCGUCUGAUACUGGAGGGCUUGAGUGCGGGAGAGGGAUGUGGAAUUCCAGGUGUAGCGGUGAAAUGCGUAGAUAUCUGGAGGAACACCGGUGGCGAAGGCGGCAUCCUGGACCGACACUGACGCUGAGGCGCGAAAGCUAGGGUAGCAAACGGG